rnacentral:rRNA from 1 species
CCCUUAGACGUUCUGGGCCGCACGCGCGCUACACUGACGAAGGCAACGGGCUUUCCUUUACCGAAAGGUACGGGUAAUCUUUUGAAACUUCGUCGUGCUGGGGAUAGAUCCUUGCAAUUUUUGAUCUUAAACGAGGAAUGCCUAGUAAGCGCAAGUCAUCAACUUGCGUUGAUUACGUCCCUGCCCUUUGUACACACCGCCCGUCGCUACUACCGAUUGAAUGGUUUAGUGAGGCCUUCGGAUCCGCGACUCGUUUGUGGAGAAGUUGGACAAACUCAGUCAUUUAGAGGAAGUAAAAGUCGUAACA